rnacentral:lncRNA from 1 species
AUGAAUCAUGCAGUAUCUAGUAUGAAUUUUUCAGACCCCGCUAUGAAUUAUCCAGGGCCCACUAUGAAUUAUGCAGUAUCUAGUAUGACUUUUUCAGACCCCACUAUGAAUUAUCCAGGGCCCACUAUGAAUCAUGCAGUAUCUAGUAUGAAUUUUUCAGACCCCACCAUAAAUUAUCCAGGGCCCACUAAGAAUCAUGCUGUAUCUAGUAUGAAUUUUUCAGACCGCACUAUGAAUUAUCCAGGGCCCACUAAGAAUCAUGCAGUACCUAGUAUGAAUUUUUCAGACCGCACUAUAAAUUAUCCAGGGCCAACUAUGAAUCUUGCAUUAUCUAGUAUGAAUUAUUCAGUGUCUACUAUUAGGUAUUCAGACACCACUAUGAUUCAUACAGUAUGUAUUAUGAAUUGUUUAGGGUCUACUGUAAAGAAUUUAGGGCCCACUAUGAAUCAUGCAGUAUCUAGUAUGAAUUUUUCAGACCCCACUAUAAAUUAUCCAGGGCCCACUAAGAAUCAUGCAGUAUCUAGUAUAAUUUUUUUAGACCGCACUAUGAAUUAUCCAGGGCCCACUAUGAAUCUUGCAGUAUCCAGUGUGAAUUAUUCAAUGUCUAUUAUUAGGUAUUCAGACACCACUAUGAUUCAUACAGUAUAUAUUAUGAAUUGUUUAGGGUCUACUGUAAAGAAUUUAGGGCCCACUAAGAAUCAUGCAGUAUCUAGUAUGAAUUUUUCAGACCGCACUAUGAAUUAUCCAGGGCCCACUAAGAAUCAUGCAGUAUCUAGUAUGAAUUUUUCAGACCCCACUAUAAAUUAUCCAGGGCCCACUAAGAAUCAUGCAGUAUCUAGUAUGAAUUUUUCAGACCGCACUAUGAAUUAUCCAGGGCCCGCUAUGAAUCUUGCAGUAUCCAGUGUGAAUUAUUCAGUGUACUAUCAGGUAUUCAGACACCACUAUGAUUCAUACAGUAAAUAUAUUAUGAAUUGUUUAGGGUCUACUGUACAGACAUCAUGGCCCACUAUGAAUCACACAGCAUCUAACAUGAAUUGUUAA